rnacentral:rRNA from 1 species
UUGACCUCAAAUCAGGUAGGACUACCCGCUGAACUUAAGCAUAUCAAUAAGCGGAAGAAAAGAAACUAACAAGGAUUCCCCUAGUAACUGCGAGUGAAGCGGGGAAAAGCUCAAAUUUUGAAUCUGGCGGUCUUUGCAGACCGUCCGAGUUGUAAUCUAAAAAAACGUCUUCC